rnacentral:misc_RNA from 1 species
UCCGGCUUACACCGGCGGUCUCCUAUGAGUCCCCGACUUUCUCGCUGGUAACAUAGGACGAGGGUUGCGCUCGUUGGCGGACUUAACCGUACACCUCACGGCACGAGCUGACGACAGCCAUGCAACAUCUGUUUUCAGGUCGCCUUGUGGGCGAGGGCCUACUUUCAUAGGCUUUCCUUCAAUGUCAAACCUGGGUAAGGUUCUUCGGUUAGUAUCGAAUUAAUCCACAUGCUCCACCGCUUGUGCGGGUCCCCGUCAAUUCAUUUGAGUUUCAACCUUGCGGCCGUACUCCCCAGGCGGGAUACUUAAUGCGUUAGCUACGGCACAAGAGGGGUCGAUACCUCUUACGCCUAGUAUCCAUCGUUUAGGGCGUGGACUAC